rnacentral:rRNA from 1 species
UACGUAGGGGGCAAGCGUUGUCCGGAAUCAUUGGGCGUAAAGCGCGUGUAGGCGGCUCGAUAAGUCUGCUGUGAAAGUUCAGGGCUCAACCCUGAAAUGCCGGUGGAAACUGUCGAGCUAGAGUCCGGAAGAGGCGAGUGGGAUUCCUGGUGUAGCGGUGAAAUGCGCAGAUAUCAGGAGGAACACCAAUGGCGAAGGCAGCUCGCUGGGACGGUACUGACGCUGAGACGCGAAAGCGUGGGGAGCAAACAGG